AGUUGGAUAUCUUUAUGAAUGGAAAUCCGGUGGAUGCACUGAGUACUGUGGUGCAUGUUGAUAAAGCACUGGAAUUGGGAAAGGCUUUGUGCCUAAAGCUACAUAACUUGCUGUCAAGGUAAAAACUCGAAUAUCAUAAAGUAGGAUGGAUCUUUCAGUGAAAAGGAUUAGUUAAAAAUAUUUCGACGUUUUCACGCGAGAGCUUUUCGUCAGGAGGUUAUUAGCGACUGACCUUCUAACGAAAGACAAACAGUGUUGUUUCAGUCUUUGUAAUUGUAAUUGGAUGGAUUUCGUGAAAUUUGGGUAUAACAAGCACUUGUGAGUUUUUAAGGAUUUGCGAAGCAAAAUCCUUUAUGUCAUUGGGUGUGUAAGGUAGGUAGGUAGGUAGGUAGGUAGGUAGGUAGGUAGGUAGGUAGGUAGGUAGGUAGGUAGGUAGGUAGGUAGGUAGGUAGGUAGGUAGGUAGGUUGGUUGGUUGGUUGGUAGGUUGGUAGGUAGGUAGGUUGGUAGGUAGGUAGGUUGGUAGGUAGGUAGGUUGGUAGGUUGGUAGGUUGGUAGGUUGGUAGGUAGGUAGGUUGGUAGGUUGGUAGGUAGGUAGGUUGGUAGGUAGGUAGGUUGGUAGGUAGGUAGGUUGGUAGGUAGGUUGGUAGGUAGGUUGGUAGGUAGGUUGGUAGGUAGGUUGGUAGGUAGGUAGGUUGGUAGGUAGGUAGGUUGGUAGGUAGGUUGGUAGGUAGGUUGGUAGGUAGGUAGGUAGGUUGGUAGGUUGGUUGGUAGGUUGGUAGGUUGGUAGGUUGGUAAGCAAGUAUCAUAUAAACUGGGUUUUAAACCCAGUUUAUAUGAUAUUUGUUUAGAAUAUGGUAUUAAAGACGUUAAUUUCAUCUUUAUUUAUUUUUUGAAACAAGUAAACAAAUAAAAAAAAUUUCCCGCCAAAACUUACGGUUGCCAGUAAGAGUUCAAACGGCUUGUUUUCGUAACUUUCGUAACUUUUUUCUUAUUCUUAAAAAUGAUCCAAGAAUACUUUUUCUUCACAUAACGACCUUAUAAACGUGUAAAAACGUUUCAAAUUCGAGCCUGUCAAGUUGACAUACGGAAAACCGGUCCGGAUACGGGAAAAUAAGGACCACGGUCCGGAUACGGGAAAAUAAGGACCACGGUUCGGAUACGCAUUUUACGGACCGCACGUCAACCAAUCAGAAUCCAGGAUUCUGCAAAACCAUAUCAUAAUUAACAAUUAUUCGCCGAAGGCGAAGUGAUUACCGGUGAAUAAUGAGAAGUCGAGGUGAAUAUUCACCGUAAUCACUGAGCCUGUGGCGAAUAAUUGUUUUAAUAUAAAUUUUUAAUGAAUAAAAUAAAAUAUCCAAAUAUCAGUUCAAUUAAAAUUCAGAAAUAAAACUGUUUUCGGCCUGUUCACGGUUACUGUCACUAACAGUGUUGCAGUGUUUCUUGUACGCACACGCUUCCAAAAUGGCUUCUUGUGUGACUUUAUUGCUUUAUUACAAAGUUGUUUUUAUCGAUUUCUGCAUAGAAUAUAAACACAAUAACGGAAUUACUUUUUCACCAGACUUAGAAUUAAAAAUAGUUUCUGUUUAGCAUUAAUUUUUUCAGGAAAUGGAUGAGAAAUUUGGUAAAAUGAAAUGUAAAACUAUAUCGUUUGAUAUAAAAAUAUAAAGUUUUAAUAACACUUUUUACUUUACAAGUUUCGAAAACACAACACAGCGGUCAGAACGCCAUACAGAACAACGAAAACAUGACAUAUCGUACAAAUUGAGAAAUCUAUGGCCAUAGGAUACAAAACAAAAUGGAUUUAAAAGAACAUCACGGCAAGGUUUUUCCCAUUGAACAGUCGGGAUACUUUUUGCUAUUUGUUUGAAAACAAAAACUCCGGUUUUAAAUAAGUUUUAAAUUGUCCGUGAAUAUGUUUGAUACAGUAAAAUAAUAAAGGAAUCCUACCUUUCAAGUUAAAUACAAUUUGAAAAGCAUUAUUUACUACCCAGGUGGUAAAUAAUGCCUCAGAUUUACUAGUCAAUUAGCCAAUCAGGACGCGCGAAAGCUCAUUUGAUAUGCAAAAUUUAUAUUAAUACAUAUUAUUAGCACUGAUGAAGAUCCGGGCUUACGGAUCGAAAGCUUUGCAGUAAUAAAUUUACGUGAUGUUUCUGUAAAUACAAUUUGAAUUCGUUAUUACGUAAAUUAUAGAUUUGUUGUGAAUUUUCAAAGAUUUCGGUCAAAGCAACUGGUGCUUGCGAAUUAGUAAUUUUAUACAUAAGUCUGGCCUUCAUGAUCACCCUGCGUUCUUUUAAGGUUUCCAAGCCAACUCGGAUAACGCUGCUUCAGACUGACCGUAGUAUGACCCUUGCUGCUCUAUUUUGUAAAGUCUGAAUUCGAUUUGAAAGCGUGGCGCCAAUUGGGUCCCACACAAUGCAGCAGUAGUCAAAAUAAGGUUUGUAAUUUGUACAAAAGAUUUUCAAGAGGUAUGUUACCUUUAAUGAUCCAAAGGAUACAGGCUCAAAUAUUUUAAAGAGAAAACGUCAAAAACUCGGUGUAUUAAAAUAAGAAAUUAAACAUUGUAUUCGCUUCGUUAUUCAGCAAGUUUAUUCUCAACUUUGUGGGUUUUUUAACUUUCGGUAUAAUAUAUCAUUUAUAGACCCUUCGCUCGGGGGAUUUAUCAAAAUAUUACCCUCAUUGAUGAUAUUUCGGUUUGCCGAAUCGCCGCCGGGUAAUGAGUCCCCUUUAUGGUUUUCACUGGCUACAACAGCACGUGAAAAAUAUUCGGUUGAAUUCAUGUAUUUUCUGUUUCUUAUAGACAAUUAUUUGAGGUCGCUAUUCAAGCAAAAGUUGGUGGAAAGAUUAUCGCUCGACAAAGGUUUAUUUAAAUUGUUAAAAUGUAGAUGUAAUUAAUAAGCGAAGUUAAAAUUCCAGAUCUUUCACGCCUACGGC